rnacentral:lncRNA from 1 species
GCGGCAAAUCCGUCCUGUGAAAAUAGCCACGUUUAUGGAGGAAAGAAAAAACGACGUUCCCGUGGUUUAAUCUCCGUGCGGUAGUCGGUGCACGUCGACUGUGAAGGUUCCUCGCUGUUGCGAGGUCCCAUUGAACACGAAAUGCAACGCACGGCGUUCUCGAAAGGAAUUCCAAUAAAACGAACUGAGAGGCAGGGUUUUCUCAAGAGAAUGCAGAUUCUGAGGGCGAAACACAAGGCGCUUUCCGUUUUAGAAAAACCUGAAAGGUCUCAUGAGAUUUUUGAACGCCAUCGCUCCGGUUCAGAUCAAAAGUAGAAACGGUGUUGCCUGAUCAAGACGGGGGAAACCCGAAUUGUUUGAGUGCAGGUUUUCCUGCCUUCGUUUGCUGUGCUCGAGAAACGACUGCGCCAGUUCGUGUGAAAAAUCUCACCCCCCAACGCGCGCGUUCCUCUUCCUUUUCGCUGUUGUGGUGCCUGAACCUGUUCCGACAGAGAGAGCGUCUGCUUUCAAAAGGGAGUUUGCAGCAUUGCCACGGUCUCGACUGUUUCACCGUCUACAGCCAGAGCCCUUCCUACCUGUAUGCCGCGAACGAAAGCGCGAAAUCGGCGCCAGCAAAAGAAUUCGUGUUUCAAGGUUACCGCCGAGGUCCUGGACUCGUCGUACUACGGGAAUUCAAACAGUGGCGUUUCGUCUUGCGGUGAUAGAGUUUGUCCAUGCGAAAUGACUCGAAAACUCUUGAGGAUUCCCUUUCACUCAAAACAAAAGUGCCCGCG